rnacentral:misc_RNA from 1 species
GAUGAAGAACGUAGCGAAAUGCGAUAAGUAAUGUGAAUUGCAGAAUUCAGUGAAUCAUCGAAUCUUUGAACGCACAUUGCGCCCCCUGGUAUUCCGGGGGGCAUGCCUGUCCGAGCGUCAUUACAACCCUCAAGCUCAGCUUGGUGUUGGGCCCCGCCGCCCCGGCGGGCCCUAAAGUCAGUGGCGGUGCCGUCCGGCUCCGAGCGUAGUAAUUCUUCUCGCUCUGGAGUCCUGGUGGAUGCUUGCCAUCAACCCCCAAUUUUUCUAUGGUUGACCUCGGAUCAGGUAGGGAUACCCGCUGAACUUAAGCAUAUCAAUAAGCGGAGGA